UGGGGAGUCGUCUAAGGGUAGGACGCCAGGUUCUGGCCCUGGUAGUGAGGGUUCGAAUCCUUCCUCCCCAGCCA
rnacentral:tRNA from 1 species